UGAAAGUAUGCUGGGGACGGAGCUGCGCUCCCAGCUCUCGCUCACUUAGCGAGCACGCUGCCCACCGCUGUACCCCGUUUAAGAUGUGACCUCUGGGGAGGGGCGCGGGCUGCAGCGUGUGGUUUGCUCUGGGAGUGCUCACGGGCCCCAGAAGGGCCUACGGGAGAGCACAGCUGGGCCUGGAGCCCGGCAAGCCGGGCUGCUCAGCUCCUGCUGGGAGAGUAUCCCUCCCUGGCUUCAGGGGGCAGCCGCACUCGGUGGCUUUCUGGCUUACACCCCAAGGUUAACGCGGGGCCUUUCCUCCUUUCUGCCCAAGCCCUGCCCGCGUUCCUCGCUGGGUCGAGCCCCUGUCACGUUCCCAGGGACUGUCUCACGGAGAGAUGCAGACUAAGGCUCUAUUCUGGGUGAUGACUGCAGAGCCCACAGAGCUUUUGGCAGCAGGGAGGGGUUUAAUCUGCCUGUCCUUCUCCAGGUGCUGUGCCAGGCAGAGUGCCCAGGAGGCCUCCAGCCCACGUGCAGUGCGUAGCAGCAGUCGGUGCCAGCAGAGCCAAUUUCCACUGCUUGUCAGCUGCGUUACCUGGGAAGAGAAAAGCUGUUCCUCUUCAAGGUCGGUUGAUUAAUGGUAUCACUGGUCACAAGAUGAGCGCAAAAAAGAGGCAGUCCAACACUGCAGAAAUAGAUUCAGCAAAUGAAAGUCCCAAUGAGAGCUCCCUGAACUACUUCCCUAUGCAGAUCAAACUAGUGAAGUAAUAAAAAAAAAAACCCCUGGGGUUGGGGUCCAGGCACCCAGGGGCCAUAAGGCUGGUACACUACUGGGGUGCUUCACAGUGAUGGAAAAACACGCAAGUUUAUUUUGUAUGUGUUUUUAAUACCAAGGUAUGGGUAGUGAUGGUGCACGCCAGGACCUGGCAGGGAUCCUCACUUCUUGUCAGGAGCAUCCCGGGGGUCUCGUGGCAGGGCUUGGUUGGCUGCUGAGCAGCAGUGGGCAGGAAGAACAACAGGAGCUGAGCACCAAGGGUUUCCAGCCAGCUCCUGUUGCUCACUUAUGUCGGUCCCUUCUGUCGGUUGAAAGCAGCACCCCCUCCUCUGACUCGCUCCUCCUGCAUCAGCUGCAUCUCUUUGCCUGGGGCAGCCGGGAAAGGCAAAGCUGUGCACCCAACCAGCACUGCUUUGCCCCCUGUGUGUGAGCAGAGCUCUUCCUGCCCCAGGGGUUCGUUACGUGAUCAGACUGGGGAACAGCGGGCACCACAGGAGCUGACGGUCACUUGAGGGUCACACUUUCUCUUACGCACUCGUUCUUAAAUCCCUGCCCAAAUGCAUGGUUACGAAUGCAGGAUUAUGCAGCGCUGACUUUCAGUUGCCCUUGUUGGACCAGCCAGGAUGUUCAAAGCAGGCGCUGGGUCCCCGCAGACGCCCCAGAUUUAGCUCUGAUCCCAAUUGUUGGUGCGCCAGCGGCGGGUGAGACUAACAGCGUGUGCAGGGAGGGUUCUGGUUACAAACGCCUGGAAUGAAGCAAGCAGGUGCUGGGAAGGUUAUGUGAGGAGAGCACCGUGUUAAUUCCCUGCCGCCUCUCACUCACCCCUGCCUGCCUACAAAGCACGGGUGGCACUUCUGCAGGUGAGGCUGUGUGUCCAGCGUGUGAGGUGAGACAUCAGCACCCCCUGAGCAGCGGCACCAGCAUGGCUGUUAGAGUGGGUCGUGUCCCCACAGAGCAGGAGUGGGGCUGAGUGUCAGCAGUGGGCGCUGGGGGUCCUCCGCUGUCCCAGGGAGGGCGGUCGUGCAGGAGCAGUGCUUGCUGACCUGAUUCAGGCCCUAAUGGUUGAUGUGAUUUCUGCUUGAAGGCGGCGUCUCCAGGCUCCGAUGUCAGACAGGAGGCUCACUUCGGGACAGCUGCGAUGGUUUCUCUCCCCGCUGCACGCCUGUCCCUCUCAGGCUGGUAGUGCUGCUGCAGGACGGCUCAGCUGUCUGCACAGUGACUGUCACAGUUUGCAGCUCAGGGUAUUAAGGUAACCUGAAAUUGG
ensembl:lncRNA